rfam:Spirosoma linguale DSM 74 plasmid pSLIN03, complete sequence.
GAGAGCCGGAUGCAUAACGAAAGGUGCACGUCCGGUUCGGGGAGAGGGCAAGCGAAACCGGUAGUUGUGAAACUACACAGGCGCGCUUGCCCUACUCUAC